CAUGGUAGUUAGGGUGCCGUGCGGCCAGUACAGCUCACACAAGCAAACAGCUGAUAAACUGGCCGCACGGAGGAAAUGUGUAUGUGUGACUGUCUGCCUGUGACUGUAUGUGACUGUCUGCCUGUAACUGAGUGUGUGACUGUCUGUAACUGAGUGUGUGACUGUCUGUAACUGAGUGUGUGACUGUCUGCCUGUAAAUGUGUGUGUGGGGCUGCAGGGAUUUUGUAGAAGGGGGUGGGGGUUUUGUA